GUCAGAAUACCAUCCAAGGUGUAAUUUACUCUGAGGUCAAUUGGAAGUGAGGUCACGCAGCAGUUGCAAAUCUGCUUCCUAGUUCUCACGACCUGUGUGCCAAACAAUUGUCAUUAAUAAGAUUAAAUUGGCAUAGGAAAAAAUAUGGAUGCACUUAUAGGGAGACUUGUAAAGCUGUAAGAGUCUUUAAGAGCUGGCUUGCACAGUAGUUAGUGCCUGGAUACUUUUUAGCUCCUGGUUAAUUCUGCUCAGUUGCUCUAAUCAGAACAGUCGUUUAUCAGUUUUUCCAACUUGUGUUGAAAUUUCAGAAGGAUACUGUCCAACAGAGGAUGGCAAAGUUUAUUUCUUCAGAGUUGUGUGGUUCAAAGAAAACACGAAUAUUUUUCAGUUUGGAUGUAGGAACCAUGCAGUCCUGGGGAAGGCAAGUCCAUGGAAGAAAGCAACAGUGUUUGACAAUGGAUACCAAAUGCUUGCAAAACUACACUUCGUAGGAGGAACAGCUCUUUUCCUUAGCUGAAGUCUCUGCAAACAUUUUACCCAACUAUGAACCCUAAGGAAUAGCAUGAUGACUAUUAUAAUGCAACAGACAAUUUUAGCUAGAGCUUGGAAACCAGUGUCUUCAAGUGUUUCAAGAAGAAGUUACAAGAUUGGUUGAAGUCUAUAAUGGAAAGUAAAAUGCUCUAAAUAAACAUAAUAAAACUAUACCCUUCAAGAAUUUUUGGUACUUCCAAUUUGUUGUUACAAUUUACACUAAUGCAAUGGAAUGCACUUUUCAUAUUUACUUUGAUGAAGAAUUUCCUGGCAAAAUGUUAAAGUUUGUUCAUAGUGGAG
ensembl:lncRNA